rnacentral:lncRNA from 1 species
UUUAAUUUUUGACAAGUGCCCCAGGGAAUUCUCAUCAUCCAGCAAACUGAGGGAAACACCAUACUCCUACGCCUUUAAGUUAGAAAGAUCUCGGUGGCUCCUUUAAUUGCCACUCAUAAGCCACAGUGUCUCUUUGCUCCCAGAGACCUCCAAAGCAGCCUAUUGUAUGGCUGCCCUUGUGUUGUGAUCUCCCUAAAGGGGAGAAGACUGGAGCUGAGCCCUGGCUCUGCUUCUCCCGGCUGUAUGACCCUGGCUAAGUCCCUUCGGACUUGACUCUCUUCCCCUAGUAAGUGGGGGAUUGGACCAGGUAGAUUGCUGCGAUGACCACCAGUUCAUCCUUCCAGGGACGCCUGGGCUCCACCUCCAGGCUGAGCAUGUAAAUGCCAUUCACUGCAUUUCCCCCUCCCCAUUUCAUAGAGAGAGAUUUGAGAGUCUUAAUCAGUCUCUUGUAAUUUUUAGUUUUUCAUCCCAGUUCUACCCAAGAUCUAACUGAUACCAAACAACCCAAAAUUUGGAUGUGAGUUUGAAGAAGUGUAUUUCCGGCUAAGAGAAAGGGGGUGUUCUUUUGAAGUUGGUUUAUACUUAAAUAGACUCUGUGUGUUGUCUGUUGGGUAAAUCUUUCUAAAAAUGUCUUCUCAAGCAGACUUCUUACCCUAGGGUUCAAGUGCCCUUCUGGAACCCUGUGGUACUUGAGUCCCUAAGAACCUGCACUUUGGAAAGUCCAUUGCUCUGGGGAAUUGAAUCCGACUAUGGGCGAAUGGCCUGGACGCAUCACUGUUUGUUCUGCUUCGUCUCCAUUGGCACCAGGACAG